AAAGCACGAUGAGGGGAUCCCAAGUGCUUGCUCGUAAGAGUAAGCUGUUUUUAUGUCUAAAAUGCAUAGAGAGUAAGGGCUGGGUAAGACGGGUGCCAGCCGCCGCGGUAAUACCUGCAGCUCAAGUGGUGACCGCUAUUAUUGGGCCUAAAACGUUCGUAGCCGGUUUGGUAAAUGCCUGGGUAAAUCGUGUAGCUUAACUAUACGAAUUCCGGGUAGACUGCCAAACUUGAGACCGGGAGAAGCUAGAGGUACUCCUUGGGUAGAGGUGAAAUUCUGUAAUCCUAGGGGGACCACCAGUGGCGAAGGCGUCUAGCUAGAACGGGUCUGACGGUGAGGGACGAAGCCCUGGGGCGCAAACCGGAUUAGAUACCCGGGUAGUCCAGGGUGUAAACGCUGCUUGCUUGAUGUUAGUUGGGCUCCGAGCCCAACUAGUGUCGGAGAGAAGUUGUUAAGCAAGCUGCCUGGGAAGUACGGUCGCAAGACUGAAACUUAA
rnacentral:rRNA from 1 species